rnacentral:tRNA from 1 species
UCCCUGGUGGCUCAGAUGGUAAAGAAUCUGACUGCAAUGCAGGAGACCCAGGUUUGAUCCCUGGGUGGGGAA